rnacentral:lncRNA from 1 species
CAUAUUCUCUGCAUCUGUAUUUAUUUAAAAAUGCUUUUGCAACCUGACACUGUUCAGCUUUUUUAUCUUUUACCAGUAUUUGGGGACUUAUUGGGGAUUCCUUUGAUAAUUUCAGGAAGAAAGAAGUGGAAUGGAAGGAGCCAGUAACUGUCCCAGGUCAGAAAACGCCUCUGAAAAGGAUCUACAUUACACCCAAAGUUCAUUGGAUAACUGCACCCUCAACAAUCAGGAGACAAUAAGUGGUGUAGACAGAGCUAAUAUCUUCCCCAAAUCAGAUGGUACCUCUGAAGACAUUCAGCAUUCCACAGACUGUUCACAGGUUGAGACUUUCCACAUUCAGGAGACAAUAAGUGGUACGAACCAAGCCAGUAACUGCCCCAAAUCAGAUGGUGCCUCUGAAGACAAUCAGCAUUGCACAGACAGUUCACAGCAUGACAGUAUCUUCCACAUUCAGGAGACAAUAAAGGGUAUGAACCAAGCCAGUAACUGCCCCAAAUCAGAUGGUGCCUCUGAAGACAAUCAGCAUUGCACAGACAGUCCACAGCAUGACAGUAUCUUCCACAUUCAGGAGACAAUAAAGGGUAUGAACCAAGCCAGUAACUGCCCCAAAUCAGAUGGUGCCUCUGAAGACAAUCAGCAUUGCACAGACCGUCCACAGCAUGACAGUAUCUUCCACAUUCAGUGGCUCUUGAUGUAGAACCACCCAUAGAUCCUUCUGCAAAAGAAGUCCAGAAAUCUUCAAUUGAACAAGCAACAGAAAUAACAAGUACCACAACUACCAUGAAAGGUACUGUUUGUUAAACUUCAUAGAAAGCCUUUAUGAACUUAAAAAUCUCUGUUUUUUCUGAUGUGCUUUGUUCAUUCAGGUCGAAAGGUGGUAAAGAAAAAGAAAUGGGACAGUGAUGAAAUGAAUGCAGUUGAAAAGCAUCUAAACAGGUUCAUCAAAACUUGUACAGUGCCAGGAAAACAACAAUGUGAGGCCUGUAUAAAUGCUGAACCUGUUGCCUUGAAAGACAGGGAUUGGUUGUCUGUAAAGUUCUUUGUGAAGAACAAAAUCACUACCCUUAAAAGAAGAAUGUAAAGUCAGUUAUUUUAUUUUGUUUGGUAUCUUAUUUUCUGGUAUUUUAGAUUUCUGGUUAUUACAUUUGUUUUAAAAGGAUCUUAGAAUCUCUUUUUUUUUUUUUUGGAAAUGGGUGCAAUUCAGU